rnacentral:rRNA from 1 species
UACGAAGGGGGCUAGCGUUGUUCGGAAUUACUGGGCGUAAAGCGCACGUAGGCGGAUCGAUCAGUCAGGGGUGAAAUCCCAGGGCUCAACCCUGGAACUGCCUUUGAUACUGUCGAUCUGGAGUAUGGAAGAGGUGAGUGGAAUUCCGAGUGUAGAGGUGAAAUUCGUAGAUAUUAGGAAGAACACCAGUGGCGAAGGCGGCUCACUGGUCCGGUACUGACGCUGAGGUGCGAAAGCGUGGGAGCAACAGGGAUUAAGA